rnacentral:tRNA from 1 species
AAAAAUUUAGUUAAACCUAUAACAUUAGUUUGUCAAACUAAAAUUAUUGUAAAAAUAAUUUUUA